rnacentral:misc_RNA from 1 species
GAUGAAGAACGGAGCGAAAUGCGAUAAGUAAUGUGAAUUGCAGAAUUCAGUGAAUCAUCGAAUCUUUGAACGCACAUUGCGCCCGCCAGUAUUCUGGCGGGCAUGCCUGUUCGAGCGUCAUUUCAACCAUCAAGCCCCCGGCUUGUGUUGGGGACCUGCGGCUGCCGCAGGCCCUGAAAUGCAGUGGCGGGCUCGCUGUCACUCCGAGCGUAGUAGUUACAUCUCGCUCUGGGCGUGCUGCGGGUUCCGGCCGUUAAAAGCCUUAUUUACCCAAGGUUGACCUCGGAUCAGGUAGGAAGACCCGCUGAACUUAAGCAUAUCAAUAAGCGGAGGA